GAGAGCUUCAGAGGCAGCUCAGGUGCUCCCAGUUAUAAAUUCGGCAGAGUUCAACCUGGGGAGCCCCAGCUCCCUCCUGAUGGCAUUGCAGUUUGUGCCAGGAGGGUUGGAAGAAGGAGCAAGCAGAGCAGAGGUUGGAGAGGGCCGUGUCAUGCGCAGGGUACAGAAGACCAACAAAACAGGCUCCACGUGCUCGCUGCGAGGGGGCUGGCAGCAGGCGAGGAACAUCGUCUCUUGCUCCGUUGAAGUCAAGCAGAAAUGACCCUGGAAAUCAGCAUCCUGCUCAGUAGCCUCUGCUAGGAACACAGCAAAGCUGAAGGCUGCCUCGCUCCAGUCCCACUUAGGCAAUUCUGCGGGAAGGUAACGGCACUGGCUCCAGGGGAACAGCUCCAGAUUUAUUGCCGGCAGUGGCACUCGGCCCGUGGUGAAGACUGGCAUGUUUUAUACUCCCUCCACAUCGCUUCUAUUAAUCUGUUUAAUAUGCUGGCGGCGGCGAUGGCAGCAGAGGCAAUAAAACCCCCGCGUGGCUGCUGUUUGUGCUCAGGCUGUGUGGCCUCAGAGCAACCUCCACCAGUGGCUUUGUCCCUCUCACCCGUGCCAGGGCAGCCAAGGCUGGAGGAAUGGCUGUGCCCCACGCCGGCCCGGCGCUAAUUGGCCUGUUUGUUUGGCAAUAAGUGAUUCCUGCCUGGCGUGGGGCGGAUUGUUUUUCACACCAUUAAAUGAAGUUCUGCUGUAUUGAUCCCUGUUUUUCCAAUUUGAAGCCUGAAAAGUGAUGAAGACAUUUUCUUGUUUUCUCAUGUACUUUUCCCCCAGUUCAUUUAGGUGACCUGUCUUUAGUUCCUUGCUCUGCUCGCUGUAAUUGCUUCUUCAGAGUAAUGCUGCGCUGUGAGCGCCGUACUGCAGCCUGGGUCCGUUUUUAUGGAAGGAUGAAGGAAGGCGAGGUUGAAGUCAUCAACCAAUAUUAACUGUGGAAGGAGAGACCAAGAAAGUGGGCGCUGAAGUUAUGGUGACGUGGCAAGUUCAGUUAUGGAGGCAGCAGUGGUUGCUCCAAUGCAGCCUCAACGGUGGUGAAUUGAAGUAUGGGGUUGAACCUGAGUGCGUAUACAUGGGAAAGUUCUCGGUGACUCUGGCAGGCUCCAGACAUGCAGCCCACACUGACAGCAGCCAGCCCAAGUCCAGCAGAGCCCAGGAAGAUGAAGUGAGGCUGGGAUUUCUGCCCAUAUGCCUGAAGAGUCCUGAGACUCCACGAUGCACCAGGAGCUUUCUGCUCACCGUUGUUUUGAGCUGAGGGGUUGGUAGCCUGGAGUCGAUCCUGAGCCUGGAAAUCAGCCUGGCAAGAGCAGGGUCUGGAGCCCACGGGCGCCCUGGGUGCAAGAGGGCAGCCAUGCUCGGGGCCUCUGCAGAGUCUGGGCAACAGAGCCCAUCUCGAUGUGCAGUUAUUAGGGAGAUGAUUAAUCUAUUUGUUUUGCAUUGCUGCUAUUAUUAUUAUGCGCAUAAGCCUGAAUUAUGUAAGAACUUUCCUGCAGGAAAUUGUGUUUGCUGGCUGCAAGCACAAAAUAAAGAAGAAAAUUCUUUCCCUUAAA